CCAGACUCCUACGGGAGGCAGCAGUGGGGAAUAUUGCACAAUGGGGGAAACCCUGAUGCAGCGACGCCGCGUGAGUGAAGAAGUAUUUCGGUAUGUAAAGCUCUAUCAGCAGGGAAGAAAAUGACGGUACCUGACUAAGAAGCCCCGGCUAACUACGUGCCAGCAGCCGCGGUAAUACGUAGGGGGCAAGCGUUAUCCGGAUUUACUGGGUGUAAAGGGAGCGUAGACGGCAGAGCAAGUCUGAAGUGAAAGCCCGCGGCCCAACUGCGGGACUGCUUCGGAAACUGCCCGGCUAGAGUGCUGGAGAGGGAAGCGGAAUUCCUAGUGUAGCGGUGAAAUGCGUAGAUAUUCGGAGGAACACCGGUGGCGAAGGCGGCCGACUGGGCUUUAACUGACGCUGAGGCUCGAAAGCGUGGGGAGCAAACAGGAUUAGAUACCCGAGUAUAU
rnacentral:rRNA from 1 species